rnacentral:rRNA from 1 species
CCUACGGGUGGCAGCAGUGGGGAAUAUUGGACAAUGGGCGAAAGCCUGAUCCAGCCAUGCCGCGUGUGUGAAGAAGGCCUUCGGGUUGUAAAGCACUUUCAGUGGGGAAGAAAGCCUUGGGGCUAAUACCCUCGAGGAAGGACAUCACCCACAGAAGAAGCACCGGCUAACUCCGUGCCAGCAGCCGCGGUAAUACGGAGGGUACGAGCGUUAAUCGGAAUUACUGGGCGUAAAGCGCGCGUAGGCGGUCUGAUAAGCCGGUUGUGAAAGCCCCGGGCUCAACCUGGGAACGGCAUCCGGAACUGUCAGGCUAGAGUGCAGGAGAGGAAGGUAGAAUUCCCGGUGUAGCGGUGAAAUGCGUAGAGAUCGGGAGGAAUACCAGUGGCGAAGGCGGCCUUCUGGACUGACACUGACGCUGAGGUGCGAAAGCGUGGGUAGCAAACAGGAUUAGAUACCCUGGUAGUC